CACUUAGGCCCUCAUGGGUCAAAGAAAAUCCAAGACUCACCUGGAGAAAAGAGUGGAUCAUAGAGGCAGAAGAAUUCACAAAAGGCGGGGGGGACCAAUAAUUCUCCAACACUUUCUGACUGGUAGCACCAGGACCCUGGAAGAAUCCCAAGCCUGUUGAAAAUAUGCUGCUGAACAGGAAAAGCAAAGGAGUUAUUGGCACUGCCCACUCAGAAAAGAGCAGAAGCAUUGCAGAACGUGCUUCCAAUCUCCAGCCUUUAAGUGGUCCAGAAGAAUAUUAUGGUGAAUGGUACUGAAUGUCACAGAGAUCUAACAGCACUAGGAAGAAUGUGUUCCCACCAUCCAGGACCUGAC